AUACGUAGGGUGCGAGCGUUGUCCGGAAUUACUGGGCGUAAAGAGCUCGUAGGUGGUUUGUCGCGUCGUCUGUGAAAUUCCGGGGCUUAACUCCGGGCGUGCAGGCGAUACGGGCAUAACUUGAGUACUGUAGGGGAGACUGGAAUUCCUGGUGUAGCGGUGAAAUGCGCAGAUAUCAGGAGGAACACCGGUGGCGAAGGCGGGUCUUUGGGCAGUAACUGACGCUGAGGGGCGAAAGCAUGGGUAGCGAACAGGAUUAGAUCCCCUGGUGGUCCAUGCCGUAAACGGUGGGCGCUAGGUGUAGGGGUCUUCCACGACUUCUGUGCCGUAGCUAACGCAUUAAGCGCCCCGCCUGGGGAGUACGGCCGCAAGGCUAAAACUCAAAUGAAUUGACGGGG
rnacentral:rRNA from 1 species